AUAGAGGACAUAUCUGUGCUAUUCAUAAGGUCGAAUCAAAGAUGGUUCUGAGCAGACAUGGGUAUCCCUUUAUUCACUUAUUCACUCAUCAAAAGAAGGACUUGAUCAACUUCAACCGCAAGCUUGAGCCACUGUAUUCCUCAAGAUAAUUUAUGUAAAGAAAAUGGGCGGGGUUACGGGGAGAACGGCAAAAAAAAAAAAGCCCAGGUGAUUGUCCACGUGCAUCUUCCUGUCCUCAUCAGGGUCUUGCUGAUGUUCUGAAGACUUUGAAGAAAUCUGAAGGCAUCAUUAUCACUAGCCCGGACUGUCAGCUCCCUGAUGGAGCUCACCAGCAAUGCCACACACGAGAAGAACAGACCCCAG